rnacentral:rRNA from 1 species
AUUGAACGCUGGCGGCAUGCUUUACACAUGCAAGUCGAACGGGGUGAGGGGGCAACUUCUCAUUCAGUGGCGAACGGGUGAGUAAUGCAUCGGAACGUGUCCCGUAGUGGGGGAUAACUCGGCGAAAGCCGUGCUAAUACCGCAUAUGCUCUACGGAGGAAAGUGGGGGGAUCCGCAAGGACCUCACGCUAUGGGAGCGGCCGAUGUCCGAUUAGCUUGUUGGCGGGGAAUGGCCCACCAAGGCGACGAUCGGUAGCUGGUCUGAGAGGAUGAUCAGCCACACUGGGACUGAGACACGGCCCAGACUCCUACGGGAGGCAGCAGUGGGGAAUUUUGGACAAUGGGGGGCAACCCUGAUCCAGCCAUGCCGCGUGCGGGAAGAAGGCC